AUUGAACGCUGGCGGCAUGCUUUACACAUGCAAGUCGAACGGUAACAGGCCGCAAGGUGCUGACGAGUGGCGAACGGGUGAGUAAUGCAUCGGAACGUGCCCAGUCGUGGGGGAUAACGCAGCGAAAGCUGCGCUAAUACCGCAUACGAUCUAUGGAUGAAAGCGGGGGACCGUAAGGCCUCGCGCGAUUGGAGCGGCCGAUGUCAGAUUAGGUAGUUGGUGGGGUAAAGGCUCACCAAGCCAACGAUCUGUAGCUGGUCUGAGAGGACGACCAGCCACACUGGGACUGAGACACGGCACAGACUCCUACGGGAGGCAGCAGGGGAGAAUUUUGGACAAUGGGCGCAAGCCUGAUCCAGCAAUGCCGCGUGCAGGAAGAAGGCCUUCGGGUUGUAAACUGCUUUUGUACGGAACGAAACGGUCCUGGUUAAUACCUGGGGCUAAUGACGGUACCGUAAGAAUAAGCACCGGCUAACUACGUGCCAGCCGCCGCCGUAACAC
rnacentral:rRNA from 1 species